GACAGAGGGUGCAAACGUUGUUCGGAAUUACUGGGCGUAAAGCGCGUGUAGGCGGCUUGGCAAGUCGGGUGUGAAAGCCCUGGGCUCAACCUAGGAAGUGCACUCGAAACUGCCUCGCUGGAGUGCCGGAGAGGAAAGCGGAAUUCUCGGUGUAGAGGUGAAAUUCGUAGAUAUCGAGAGGAACACCGGUGGCGAAGGCGGCUUUCUGGACGGUUACUGACGCUGAGACGCGAAAGCGUGGGGAGCAAACAGGAUUAGAAACCCCCGUAGUCC
rnacentral:rRNA from 1 species